rnacentral:rRNA from 1 species
GACGAACGCUGGCGGCGUGCUUAACACAUGCAAGUCGAACGGAAAGGCCCUGCUUGCAGGGUACUCGAGUGGCGAACGGGUGAGUAACACGUGGGUGAUCUGCCCUGCACUUCGGGAUAAGCCUGGGAAACUGGGUCUAAUACCGGAUAGGAGCCAUUCUUAGUGUGAUGGUUGGAAAGUUUUUUCGGUGUAGGAUGAGCUCGCGGCCUAUCAGCUUGUUGGUGGGGUAAUGGCCUACCAAGGCGGCGACGGGUAGCCGGCCUGAGAGGGUGGACGGCCACAUUGGGACUGAGAUACGGCCCAGACUCCGACGGGAGGCAGCAGUGGGGGAUAUUGCACAAUGGGCGCAAGCCUGAUGCAGCGACGCCGCGUGGGGGGUGACGGCCUUCGGGUUGUAAACUCCUUUCGCUAGGGACGAAGCUUUUUGUGACGGUACCUAGAGAAGAAGCACCGGCUAACUACGUG